rnacentral:lncRNA from 1 species
CAUUGGGUCAGACAAGAAUCAUCAAUGGAUGCUGAAUGUAGGAGCAAAAUUUUAAUGAAAAGCAGGUUAUUUACAUGGUUUUUAAAUGUUUCUCUACAGAAUGCCUAUUAGCUGCAUGAGGGGAAACAGUAACCAGAAAGUAGAGGACUGGACAACAUCUGGACCAAGGGAUCAAAAUUAACAUCAAUAAGGAAGUCGCUAUGCACAGUUCACACUUAAGGACUGAGGAAGAGUUAUGUUCCAUCUCCUUGAAGUCCUAGAAUCAGGCGUUUCUUUAAGAGGCCCUACUUCCUCUAAUUGGAUAAUUCUAGAAACCGGUAUU